GCGAGUGUAGCUCAGGGGUAGAGCACGACCUUGCCAAGGUCGGGGUCGAGGGUUCAAAUCCCUUCACUCGCU
rnacentral:tRNA from 2 species